CGAUCACCAAUGAGAGGCCACCGGGGGUGGGACUAGAGCUGCUGCUGACCAAUGAGAGCCAGCAGGGGCGGGAUGGAACUGCCGAUCACCAAUUAGAGGCCACCGGGGGUGGGUCAGAGCUGCUGCUGUACCAAUGAGAGGCCAGCAAGGGCGGGAUGGAGCCUCUGCUGACCAAUGAGAGGCCGGCACGGGUGCUGCGCCGAGCUGGGAGCAAAGCGGACACCCCGAAAGCAUUGGCAGCGACUGGAAGGGGCUCCAAGAAGCAAAGAAUGGCGGCGAGGCGCUGCCGGGAGCACCAAAAAGGCGGUGAGGCUCUCCCUGAAGCACCACAGCAGUUUGUUCACCCACAGCACACACGCGUGUGUGGCCCAUCCCUGCGUGCAACCACAUGCACGCACACACAUGCAACCCCAUCCCGUUGCACAGCAGUUGUAGUUGCAGCUGACCUUCCAAGGCUGCAAUACGUGGUGGUGGGACAGCCUUGGGCUUCUGCGUUUGCAUUAAUCCCACGUUUCCCAUCUCUGCCUUGCAGCUCUGCUGGUGCUGGAAGUGGACGGUAUUGCAGUAUGAAUGAAGGAGCAGCUGCUGAUGGGAGGCAGGAAGUCCAGGCUCAUGAACGCUGAGACAUCUGCCACUACGGUAACAGAGGAGGCAGUAGUCAUGUUGGGAGGCAGUUGCAGAAGAAGAUGAGGAGUUCCCCAGCAGGAAGCCACAAACCCGGCAGGAACCUGCAGGGGAAUCGCAGCAUGUGUGGGUGCCCAGGAGGAAAUGCAGCCCCAGCGUCUGAGCAGCGCCUGGCCAUGGAGUGCUGCGGCCCAAGAACAGCGCUAUUCUGCCCUUGCCGAGAUGGCUUUCCAAGGAGGACUUGUCUGUGGUGGUCAAGGAGGUUAUUUGGGUUAUGUGGGCUCAUUGGGGUCUGUCCUCACAAAAACCAGAGGGCUGGCUCAUCCAAAAGCUUGGUGAUUGCUUGGAAGCCCAAACCCUUCUUGCCUCCAGUAACCCCAUUGGCCCCACUGACCCUUUUGACCCAGUGACCCCAGUGACCUCACAUGAAUCCCAUAUCCCCACUGACCCCAAUGAUCACAAUGAUCCCACAUGGCCCCAUUAACCCCAACGACCCCGCUUGAACCCACUGACCCCACCGUUCCUAAAGAUCCUGAUGAUACCCAUGACUCCAUAUGACCCCAACAACCCAUUAACCCCACUAGCCCCAUAGACCCCAUUAACCCCACAUGACCCCAUGGACCCCAAUGAACCCCAUUGACAUCACUGACCCCAUUAACCCAAAGGAGCCUUAUAGACCACAAUGACCCCAUUAACAGCAAUGACCCCCAUUGACCCCAAUAACCCCACUGACUCCAAUGACACGAAUAACCCCCAUUGACCCCAGUGACCCCCAUUGCCCCAUUGAUGCCAAUGACUCCCAUUGACCCCAUUGACCCCCACUGACCCCAGUGACACUCAUGACCCCAGUGAGCCCGUUGACUCAAACACCCCAUAGACCUCAAUGACCCCAUUGACUUCAAUGACCCCAUAGACCCUAAUGAACUGAAUGACCCCAAUCUGGAGGCAGCUUGGGGGAAACAUUUUCUGAGUCUGAUCAUGCAGCGCCUGAGCGAGAGGGUGACCCAGCCUGGCUACACAAUUAUCGUGUGUAUUUCUCUGUUCUGAUGCUUCACAGAACCCCAUUGGGUGAGCCUCCUGUUGGUUUCUUCAAAUUUGGUACCAAUCCUGGGGACCAAAACCACAGCCCGAAAGGCUGCAACCAGUCCAGGGGCUUAAAGCCACAGCCCCAGCUAGAGAGGCCAGAAGCAGGCAAGGGCCUAAGGCCACAGACACGGGCGGGGAGCCCAG
ensembl:lncRNA